rnacentral:rRNA from 1 species
CAUGAAGUUGGAUUCGCUAGUAAUCGCGCAUCAGCCAUGGCGCGGUGAAUACGUUCCCGGGCCUUGUACACACCGCCCGUCAAGCCAUGGGAGUCGGUAACGCCCGAAGCCUGUGACCCAACCUAAUAGGAGGGAGCAGUCGAAGGUGGGACCGGUGACUGGGGUGAAGUCGUAACAAGGUACC